rnacentral:misc_RNA from 1 species
GAAAUGCGAUAAGUAGUGUGAAUUGCAGAAUUCAGUGAAUCAUCGAAUCUUUGAACACACAUUGCGCCCUUUGGUAUUCCUUAGGGCAUGCCUGUUCGAGCGUCAUUUAAACCUCCAAGCCCUGCUUGGUGUUGGGUGCCUGUCCCGCCCCCGCGCGUGGACUCACCUCAAAUCCAUUGGCGGCCCCCGCAUGGCCACGAGCGCAGCAGAAACGCAAACUCGUGUGCCGGACCGGGCGGCUCCCAGAAGCUACACUCACCAUUUUUGACCUCGGAUCAGGUAGGGAUACCCGCUGAACUCAAGC